UACGGAGGUGGCAAGCGUUACUCGGAUUCAUUGGGUGUAAAGGGCAGGUAGGUGUCUUACAAAGUGGGAGGUGAAAUCCUUCGGCUCAAUCGGAGAAUUGCCUUCCAAACUAGUAGGAUUGAGUGCGAGAGAGGAAAGUGGAACUCUCGGUGUAAGGGUGAAAUCUGUAGAUAUCGAGAGGAACACCAGUAGCGAAGGCGACUUUCUGGAUCGCAACUGACACUGAGCUGCGAAAGCUAGGGGAGCAAACAGG
rnacentral:rRNA from 1 species